CCUAGGCAGACGGCCGGCCGCUCCGUCGCCAACGCGAUCACCGCGACUUCGGUUCGGGAGUCAGAGUGCUCGUCCAGCAGAAUGGUGGAGAUGGUGCGUUUCAGAGGGCAGGUGGACGCGAAAGGAGUACCCGAUCAGGAGAUGAGCGCUGUCGACACACCUCCCCGCCGGUAGGGGCCAUGAGACUUCGUCGUAGGCCUCCCGCACAGCGGGCGAGCUUAACGGGACGGCCUACCUUGCGCCUGGCGCCUUCACACUGCAGGGUAGGCAACCUGCACCACACUCAAGCUUAACGGGACGGCCUGCCUGACCCGACAAGAGCUGCUUCUUCCGCAGAAGGCGGCAGUUUUGGAUUCAGCAUAGGCCUCCGGCACGACAGACGCGUGCUGCGGGAUCACCUUCCUCGCCCCUGCCGAGUGCAGUUUCUUCACCAACCACGUUCCAG